rnacentral:ncRNA from 2 species
UGACCGUGCAAAGGUAGC